UGACGUGUGUUCCUCUUCCUGUCGGCAGUGAGUCAGGAGGAUUUUAACUCGUCACAGAGCGAUUCGGGUCUUUUUCACCCAGGAAGUUUCGAGCUGACGCUAAAAUCAAAGCUUCCUGGUUUUGCGAGACCCAACAAAC